AUACGGAGGAUGCGAGCGUUAUCCGGAUUUAUUGGGUUUAAAGGGUGCGUAGGCGGGCUGGUAAGUCAGCGGUGAAACGCAGGUGCUCAACACCUGACCUGCCGUUGAAACUGCCGGUCUUGAAUGCGGAUGCUGUGGGAGGAAUGUGUGGAGUAGCGGUGAAAUGCAUAGAUAUCACACAGAACACCGAUUGCGAAGGCAUCUCACAAAUCCGUGAUUGACGCUGAGGCACGAAAGUGCGGGGAUCGAACAGGAUUAGAUACCCUGGUAGUCCGCACUGUAAACGAUGAUGACUCGCUGUCGGCGAUAGACAGUCGGUGGCCAAGCGAAAGCGAUAAGUCAUCCACCUGGGGAGUACGACCGCAAGGUUGAAACUCAAAUGAAUUGACGGG
rnacentral:rRNA from 1 species